rnacentral:rRNA from 1 species
UCUUAGGGCCAUACCACCCUGAGCGCGCCCACGUACACUAUCAACCUAAAAAAAAAGCGCGCCCGAUCUCGUCUGAUCUCGGAAGCUAAGCAGGGUUGGGCCUGGUUAGUACUUGGAUGGGAGACCGCCUGGGAAUACCAAGUGCUGUAAGCU